UACCCAAAGGAUUAUAUAUCAUGCUACUAUAAAGACACAUGCACAUGUAUGUUCAUUGUGGCACUAUUCACAGUAGCAAAGACUUGGAACCAACUCAAAUGUCCAUCAACGAUAGACUGGAUUAAGAAAAUGUGGCACAUAUACACCAUGGAAUACUUUGCAGCCAUAAAAAUGGAUGAGUUCAAGUCUUUUGUAGGGACAUGGAUGAAGCUGGAAACCAUCAUUCUCAGCAAACUAUCGCAAGGACAAAAAACCAAACACUGCAUGUUCUCACUCAUAGGUGGGAAUUGAACGAUGAUGAUAUGGAAGAAAAGCACUCUUUGGCCUGUUGUGACUGGGACAGUUGACAGCACCCAGGUGUCCUUUAAUGAAAAUGCUCUUGACACCAAUGCAUCCUAGCAUCACAGCUUCAGGAAGCCUUCUCAAGUGUGCAUGGGGAGUACUAUGUCUUUCAUCAAUAAUGAAAUCUUCUGAUUUGUAAGACAUGCUGCCAAGAGAUGUGCCAUUCUAUUAUAAAAGAUCAGUAGCUUCCUUUACCGACGUGUAUAUUCUAUCUAGAACAUUGAGCUAUGGAAGACUCCCACCUAAGGGAAUUAGUUUUACACCUUCAGAUAAAGACUGCUGAGAAGAGCACCCUCUGGUGUUGUCACAGAGGCAAGUGCUACCGCACAGGCAUGCUGCAGUGAAUUUAACUGAUCCUCUGUCCCUGCAACCGUUGUUUAAGGAUGCUAUUCUGAAAAGACUGUGGAGGAAGAAAACCCUUUACCCUGUUGUUCAGGGAGAAACUGACACCACUCAACUGCCUGGCACUGAAAAUGUGGCAUCCAGUCCACUUUACCAUCAGUGUUUAAGGAAACCAUCUCUGAUAAGGAUGACUGAGGAAGAGUACUCUUUGGCUUGUUGACACCAGCACAGCUGACACACCCAGAUAUCUGUUUGGUCUCCUGUGAACUUUCAACCAGGAUUUAAGGAUGCCACUCUGGUUAAAAGCUGAAACAACUUCAAGGAAACUUCAGGGAAAAGAGAAGGCCUGGAAUCUGAUCCUCCACUUCAGAGAACAGGGAUCACUUGAACUGGCACAUGUCUCUUGUUUUGCAGAGAGGGAAUUAAUGUGAUACCUUCAUGCUUUUCUAUUCUAUGUGCUACAUAAUUGAAUAUACAAGCAAAUAUAGUUGUUAA
ensembl:lncRNA SNHG14 small nucleolar RNA host gene 14